AUUUAUUUGCCCCCAUUUGAUUACCACAUCAAGUUAACAGUUGCUCUCAGCAGUGCAAAAUGUCUUACAAAUAAACCCGUGUCGGAAAGUACAUACCGGGUAUAAAGAAUAAACAUGCCUUCGGUGAUUCAAAUAGUUUGAAAUAAUAAGAGAUGUUGUAGUUACAAGUGACUAAUGUGCAACAGAGACCAAAAUAUGGAACUACUGUGCAAGAUACCUAAAAUAUGCCCCUGUUAUAUCUGGGAAUGUGUCUAGCAG